CGGACGGGUGAGUAACGCGUGGAUAACCUGCCUCACACUGGGGGAUAACCGUUAGAAAUGACUGCUAAUACCGCAUAAGCGCACAGUACCGCAUGGUACGGUGUGAAAAACUCCGGUGGUGUGAGAUGGAUCCGCGUCUGAUUAGCCAGUUGGCGGGGUAACGGCCCACCAAAGCGACGAUCAGUAGCCGACCUGAGAGGGUGACCGGCCACAUUGGGACUGAGACACGGCCCAA
rnacentral:rRNA from 1 species